AACGAACGCUGGCGGCAUGCCUAACACAUGCAAGUCGAACGAGACCUUCGGGUCUAGUGGCGCACGGGUGCGUAACGCGUGGGAACCUGCCCUUAGGUUCGGAAUAACUCCCCGAAAGGGGUGCUAAUACCGGAUAAUGUCUUCGGACCAAAGAUUUAUCGCCUUUGGAUGGGCCCGCGUUGGAUUAGCUAGUUGGUAGGGUAAAAGCCUACCAAGGCGACGAUCCAUAGCUGGUCUGAGAGGAUGAUCAGCCACACUGGGACUGAGACACGGCCCAGACCCCUCGGGGGGGGAGAAGGGGGGAAUAUUGGACAAGGGGCGAAAGCCGGAUCCAGCAAUGCCGGGGGAGUGAUGAAGGCCUUAGGGUGGUAAAGCUCUUUUACCCGGGAUGAUAAGGACAGUACCGGGAAAAUAAGCCCCGGCUAACCCCGU
rnacentral:rRNA from 1 species